rnacentral:tRNA from 1 species
GGUUGCUUCGUCCAGUGGUAGGAUACCUCUUUCGGGCAAUACCCGGUGUGUUUCACACCUAGUCAAAAGAGGCUCUAGAAUUAUAGAGGUGGUCGCGAGUUCGAAUCCCGCAGUGACCC